CAUCCUGGUGAUGAGAGUGACAACGAGAAUGUACAAGGCUCUUACAUGGAAACGAGACGAUAUUUAGCUUUCAUUCCCGACACCUACAAGUCGGAAGAAACUCAAGUAUGCGCCAAGGGAUGAUCCUUCCAAAAACCUCUCACUACCCGUAAUGUCUUCAAACCCAAUCUUCACUGCAUCACUGAAAAGUUUCCGCCCACUGGAGUCCAGCUGUCCACAGAGCAGUUGGUUUGGUCGAGUUUACAUCUGUACUGGUGGCAGAAGCUGGAAGUUUCAACCAUUUAGCCAUUACCUUUAUUUCGCAGGGACUCGAUCAAAAUGUGUUGUUGUGGAAUUAGCCGACUUCGAUUUUGUGGAUAUAUAUUUUUCAAUCAAUUCAUAAUGUCUCAGUUCGCUGAGCUCCUGCACAAUCUUUCCAUGGAGCCCGUGGCAACUGCAGAAGUAUCCCCUGGGUUACAAGGACCCCUAGUUAGUCAUUACUGAGUAAGGAUGAAGUCACAGAAAUGGAGCACAGUACAUACUUUACAAAUGUAUUUGACAUUGUUAUUAACUUAACUACUAAGCCCCUUUUUGUUUUAUUUUUAUUUUGUUUUAUAUGCCAUUGCUACUCAUUACUAUAGCAUUACAUCAAUUUUCUACUAUUUAAUCAGUAAUUCACCAGUAAAUCAGUGACAACAUUUGCCUAUCCAUAUUUGAAAGACCAUAAGAAUCAUCAUUGUAACAACAAUAAAUAACUAGAAAGGUUA